rnacentral:misc_RNA from 1 species
AACGGUCUAUACCUGCGGUACCUGCGGAAGGAUCAUUAUUGAAAUAUCCUUAGGAUGUUGCUGGCCUUUUGGGGCAUUGUGCACUCCGCCUUUUCAUCUCACCUGUGAACUUAUUGUAGGCCAGGUUUAUUUAACCUGUGCCUAUGUUAUUUUUAUACACACCAUGUUUAUUAGAAUGUCUAAUAUCAGGACCUUUACCGGUCAAAAAUAUAAUAACAACUUUUAACAAUGGAUCUCUAG